rnacentral:rRNA from 1 species
GCAGCGCCGCGGUAAAACGGAGGGUGCAAGCGUUAAUCGGAAUUACUGGGCGUAAAGCGCACGCAGGCGGUCUGACAAGUCAGAUGUGAAAUCCCCGGGCUUAACCUGGGAACUGCAUUUGAAACUGUCAGGCUGGAGUCUUGUAGAGGGGGGUGGAAUUCCAGGUGUAGCGGUGAAAUGCGUAGAGAUCUGGAGGAAUACCGGUGGCGAAGGCGGCCCCCUGGACAAAGACUGACGCUCAGGUGCGAAAGCGUGGGGAGCAAACAGGAUUAGAUACCCGCGUAGUCCCUGUCUCUUAUACA